AAGGUAGCAUAAUCAUUAGUUUUUUAAUUGAAAGCUUGUAUGAAGGGUUGGAUGAGAAAAUAACUGUCUCUAUCCAAAUUUAUUAGAAUUUUUUUUUUAAGUAAAAAAGCUUAAAUAAGUAUUGAAGACGAGAAGACCCUAUAGAGUUUUAUAUUUUUAGCUAUUAAAAAUUUUAGUAUUAUAAAAGUUAAUAGUUAAAUUUAUUUAGUUGGGGUGAUUAAAAAAUUUAAUAAACUUUUUUUUUAUUUAUACAUUGAUAUAUGAAUAAUUGAUCCUUUUAUUAAGAUUAAAAGAUAAAAUUAC
rnacentral:rRNA from 1 species